GAUGAACGCUGGCGGCGUGCCUAAUACAUGCAAGUAGAACGCUGAAGGAAGGAGCUUGCUCUUUCCGGAUGAGUUGCGAACGGGUGAGUAACGCGUAGGUAACCUGCCUGGUAGCGGGGGAUAACUAUUGGAAACGAUAGCUAAUACCGCAUAACAGUAGAUGUUGCAUGAUAUCUACUUAAAAGGUGCAAUUGCACCACUACCAGAUGGACCUGCGUUGUAUUAGCUAGUUGGUGAGGUAACGGCUCACCAAGGCGACGAUACAUAGCCGACCUGAGAGGGUGAUCGGCCACACUGGGACUGAGACACGGCCCAGACUCCUACGGGAGGCAGCAGUAGGGAAUCUUCGGCAAUGGACGGAAGUCUGACCGAGCAACGCCGCGUGAGUGAAGGAGGUUUUCGGAUCGUAAAGCUCUGUUGUAAGAGAAGAACGAGUGUGAGAGUGGAAAGUUCACACUGUGACGGUAUCUUACCAGAAAGGGACGGCUAACUACGUG
rnacentral:rRNA from 1 species